rnacentral:rRNA from 1 species
UACGGGGGGGGCAAGCGUUGUUCGGAAUUACUGGGCGUAAAGGGCUCGUAGGCGGCCAACUAAGUCGGAUGUGAAAUCCCCAGGCUCAACUUGGGAACUGCAUCCGAUACUGGAUGGCUUGAAUUCGGGAGAGGGAUGCAGAAUUCCAGGUGUAGCGGUGAAAUGCGUAGAUAUCUGGAGGAACACCGGUGGCGAAGGCGGCGUUCUGGACUGCAACUGACACUGAAAAACGAAAGCCAGGGGAGCAAACGGG